CUCUGGCUGCUAGCUAGUUAUAUUUGUAAACACACUUCUACGGAUACCACAAAGGGCCAUUAUAAAUCCGUCAGAUUCGAAAAUGAAAGUUAAACAUGAAGAUGGUCUCAUGUGACUGUGUGUGACACUCGUGGUAAAUGAUCCCGUCUGGCUGCUGAUUGUGGAAAAGGAACCGGCCGGGUCAGAAGAGGAACAGGUGUAAACGCAGGACCAGUCCCGUGACUCGCUCCCCAAAGAGAGGCCAGCGCGGACGUGCGACCGUGUUUCCGGAACUGUCCGCCUCAUCUCCGGGUGCCUCGCAGUAGCGCAGUGUGGGACCGACUGAGAGGUUUUCAGACUGAUUUAUGGUUGGCUUUGCUCCCAGACUCCCAUUGGUCAAUGAAAUAACAUUGCAGUGCAGUGCAGACGUAAUGGAAUGUCAAAGUGCUGUUUUGGGAAUGUAGGGAAUGUAUUGUUAAAGGGGAAUCAUUUAUGAUUCAUUUUGCUGAUGAGUACAAUUGUCAAAAAAAUUCAACAAUGUUAUUUUUGUACAUAUAAAUCCUAAGUGAUUCCAAAAAUAGGCAGCAAGUAUUGUGCUGAAAUAUUUGCUGCAUAUCUACAGUAUUAUUUCAAAGCAGUGCCAGUAAGUGCCAAGGUUAAAAUGAAAGACAAGGCUAUCGACCCCUUCUGUGUAACUAAAAUACAUUCUGAGGUGACCUAUGCAUUAAUAAUGAAGAACCAACCUCUGCCCGGUCCUAAAGUGGUAAAUGAAGCUCAGGCAUUGAUCCAAACACCAAAAUAUCUGUCUGUAAUGGAUAUUUGAUGGCAUUGGAAACUGCAAAUGGUUGUUAACUGUGUAUUUGUCACUCUACCCUGCAGCAAGAUAUUCCAUUCUUUUCUGUUGUCAAAUAAAGCACCGAUUUGAUUUGAA